UGGCAAUAGACUCAGAAUCUGACAGAGC
rnacentral:piRNA from 1 species